CAGUAGCCGCGGUAAUACGGAGGGGGCUAGCGUUGUUCGGAAUUACUGGGCGUAAAGCGCACGUAGGCGGCUGUGUAAGUCAGAGGUGAAAGCCCGGGGCUCAACCCCGGAAUAGCCUUUGAGACUGCGUAGCUUGAACACGGGAGAGGUGAGUGGAAUUCUGAGUGUAGAGGUGAAAUUCGUAGAUAUUCGGAAGAACACCAGUGGCGAAGGCGGCUCACUGGACCGUUGUUGACGCUGAGGUGCGAAAGCGUGGGGAGCAAACAGGAUUAGAUACCCGCGUAGUCCCUGUCUCUUAUAA
rnacentral:rRNA from 1 species